rnacentral:rRNA from 1 species
CCUACGGGGUGCUGCAGUGAGGAAUAUUGGUCAAUGGGCGAGAGCCUGAACCAGCCAAGUCGCGUGAAGGAUGACGGCACUACGGGUUGUAAACUUCUUUUGUCAGGGAGCAAUUGAGUCCACGUGUGGUCGUAGCGAGAGUACCUGAAGAAAAAGCAUCGGCUAACUCCGUGCAAGCAGCCGCGGUAAUACGGAGGAUGCGAGCGUUAUCCGGAUUUAUUGGGUUUAAAGGGUGCGUAGGCGGAAUAUCAAGUCAGCGGUAAAAAUUCGGGGCUCAACCCCGUCGUGCCGUUGAAACUGAUGUUCUUGAGUGGGCGAGAAGUAUGCGGAAUGCGUGGUGUAGCGGUGAAAUGCAUAGAUAUCACGCAGAACUCCGAUUGCGAAGGCAGCAUACCGGCGCCCCACUGACGCUGAAGCACGAAAGCGUGGGUAUCGAACAGGAUUAGAUACCCGGGUAGUC